GCCAAGCUCUGGAUGAUAAUGAAUUGCCACAUUUUAUCCAACUCCUACUGGCGACCAUUCUGCCACAAUAGCAAGCUAAAUUGACUCAUUUUGACAGCGUUUACCUCUGUCUGAAAUCAGAGAGAGGGCCUGUAGAUGUUUCCAGGGAUGUACUGAUGCACUUUCUAUUUUUUAAAGACCUCCUAUUCUUGCAGGUCUCUAGUUUUACGACAAUCCUUGCAAGCUGUCACAAAGAAGCUCUAUGAUGCCACAGUGAGUUAUCGAUGUGAACAGACUCGCAUUCGGCCACUAAAGAUGGUAGCCUGUAUGAAUUCGCCUCCAUGGAAAACUAUUUAUUUCUCAUGUUACUGGGCUUGACUUUGAUGUUUGGUACAGCUCUCCAGGCCUCUUGAUUGUGGGACAUAUCCACCUUAGUCACUUUUGUACCCUGCACUGCCACAGAC